CCUGGUUCCUCUCAGUGAUCCAUCAACAAAAUGUUGAUCCCAAGACUUCACAGAUGCAAUCCAUGUUUCCUGUGGAACACAGAUUAUCUGCCGAAUCACUCUGUGAGACAGGAAAUGAAAGUAGAGGAAAGGAGAAUACCUGUGUAUGAAAAUGCAGAAGAGGAAAAUAAAUUAUCUUCGACUUCAGGCAAUACUCCAAGUGGAAACAAGCAAUAAAGAUCUAUAUUUCCCCACCAAUAUGAAAUUAUGGCCACGUCACCAAAUCUAGUAAGUCAACUAUUGCUUUCAGUUUUAAUUAACUUUUUAAAAGUGAUCUUUUUA
rnacentral:lncRNA from 1 species